rnacentral:tRNA from 1 species
GGGACGUUAGCUCAGGGGUAGAGCAGUUGCCUUUUAAGCAAAUGGUCAGUGGUUCAAAUCCACUACGUCCCACUA